UCCUGGAUUUUAUGCCACGUCCCUCAAUGUGUAUGUGCUUCAAGCCAUGUACAACAUCUACAGAGCAGAUCAUGGACCAGUACGGCUACGGGGCAUAGAGCACCGUUACAGAUAUCUGGCGUACAGGAUGUUUGUCAGUUGGUGUUGGGGAUUCCUUGGGCGCCACAUAAGAGUUGUGGUUCCAUCAUGUGUCGUCCUGCGUGUUCGUCGGGAGUUUCCAGAUAGUCAACAGCAAUACAUGGGCUUCAGACUGCCUCCCCUGCGUUGAAGCGGAAGAUGCAGCUGGUGAUCACCCCCUCCUUCUCAGGCCCACGUCUUCAACGCAUCCUAUGCAAUGAAAGACAUGUUGUAUUUCUACUGUAUUUUCACAUUAAUUUUACUAAACUAUUCAAAGUGUACAUUUCUUAUGUAAAUAUACUGUUUUAACUGUUUUAAUUCAGAUUACAAGGCUUAUUUUUAUUACUUUUUCUAUAUAAUUAAAAUAAGAAAUACUUA